rnacentral:rRNA from 1 species
GACGAACGCUGGCGGCGUGCUUAACACAUGCAAGUCGAACGAUGAACGCUGGAGCUUGCUCCGGCUGGAUUAGUGGCGAACGGGUGAGUAACACGUGAGCAAUCUGCCCUUGACUCUGGGAUAACUCCGAGAAAUCGGUGCUAAUACCGGAUAUGACCCUUGGCGGCAUCGCUGGGGGUGGAAAGUUUUUCGGUCAAGGAUGAGCUCGCGGCCUAUCAGCUUGUUGGUGAGGUAAUGGCUCACCAAGGCGACGACGGGUAGCCGGCCUGAGAGGGUGACCGGCCACACUGGGACUGAGACACGGCCCAGACUCCUACGGGAGGCAGCAGUGGGGAAUAUUGCACAAUGGGCGCAAGCCUGAUGCAGCAACGCCGCGUGGGGGAUGACGGCCUUCGGGUUGUAAACCUCUUUUAGCAGGGAAGAAGCGAAAGUGACGGUACCUGCAGAAAAAGCACCGGCUAACUACGUGCCAGCCGCCGCCGUAA